rnacentral:rRNA from 1 species
UCCACGCCCGCUCAGAAACUACAAAGGAAGUUAGACGGGGGCCCGCGACAAGCGGAGGAGCAUGUGGUUUAAUUCGAUGAUACGCGAGGAACCUUACCUGGGCUCGAACGUAAGAUGACUGUAGGUGAAAGCUUACAUCUCUUCGGAGCAUUUUACGAGGUGCUGCAUGGUUGUCGUCAGCUCGUGCCGUGAGGUGUCGGGUUAAGUCCCAUAACGAGCGCAACCCUACCUUUAGUGCCAUCAGGUAAUGCUGGGGACUCUAAAGGAACUGCCUACGCAAGUAGUGAGGAAGGCGGGGAUGACGUCAAAUCAGCACGGCCCUUACGUCCAGGGCUACACACGUGCUACAAUGGCCGAUACAGAGGGCAGCUACCUGGUGACAGGAUGCAAAUCUCCAAAGUCGGUCUCAGUUCGGAUCGGAGUCUGCAACCCGACUCCGUGAAGUUGGAUUCGCUAGUAAUCGCGCAUCAGCCAUGGCGCGGUGAAUACGUUCCCGGGCCUU